rfam:Larimichthys crocea isolate SSNF unplaced genomic scaffold scaffold573, whole genome shotgun sequence.
GGCACUGUGGCUUAGUUGGUCAAAGCUCCUGUCUCUGGCUCAAAUCCCAGCAGUGCCU